GAUGAACGCUAGCGGCAGGCCUAACACAUGCAAGUCGAGGGGUAGAAGGAGCUUGCUCCUUUGAGACCGGCGCACGGGUGCGUAACGCGUAUGCAAUCUACCUUGUACAGGGGAAUAGCCCAGAGAAAUUUGGAUUAAUGCCCCAUAGUAUAUAACCUUCGCAUGUUGGUUAUAUUAAAGUUUAGGCGGUACAAGAUGAGCAUGCGUCCCAUUAGUUAGUUGGUAAGGUAACGGCUUACCAAGACGAUGAUGGGUAGGGGUCCUGAGAGGGAGAUCCCCACACUGGUACUGAGACACGGACCAGACUCCUACGGGAGGCAGCAGUGAGGAAUAUUGGUCAAUGGUCGCAAGACUGAACCAGCCAUGCCGCGUGCAGGAAGACGGUCCUAUGGAUUGUAAACUGCUUUAUACAGAGAAACCUCCACCGUGUGGGAGGCUUGACGGUACUGUAGGAAUAAAGGAUCGGCUAACUCCGUGCCAGCAGCCGC
rnacentral:rRNA from 1 species